rnacentral:rRNA from 1 species
UACGUAGGGUGCGAGCGUUGUCCGGAAUUAUUGGGCGUAAAGCGCACGUAGGCGGCUUCGUAAGUCGGAUGUGAAAUCCCUCGGCUUAACCAAGGAAGUGCAUCCGAAACUACAGAGCUUGAGUACUUAAGAGGAUCGCGGAAUUCCCGGUGUAGAGGUGAAAUUCGUAGAUAUCGGGAGGAACACCGAUGGCGAAGGCAGAUCUCUGGGCCGUAACUGACGCUGAGGAGCGAAAGCGUGGGGAGCGAACAGG